AGAGUUUGAUCCUGGCUCAGAUUGAACGCUGGCGGAAUGCUUUACACAUGCAAGUCGAACGAUGAACCCUAGCUUGCUAGGGGAUUAGUGGCGAACGGGUGAGUAAUAUAUCGGAACGUGCCUUGUAAUGGGGGAUAACUAGUCGAAAGAUUAGCUAAUACCGCAUACGCCCUGAGGGGGAAAGUAGGGGAUCUUCGGACCUUACGUUAUAAGAGCGGCCGAUAUCUGAUUAGCUAGUUGGUGGGGUAAUGGCCUACCAAGGCUUCGAUCAGUAGCUGGUCUGAGAGGACGACCAGCCACACUGGAACUGAGACACGGUCCAGACCCCUACGGGAGGCAGCAGUGGGGAAUUUUGGACAAUGGGCGCAAGCCUGAUCCAGCCAUUCCGCGUGAGUGAAGAAGGCCUUCGGGUUGUAAAGCUCUUUCGCAAGGGAAGAAAACUUACUUUCUAAUAAAGAGUGAGGCUGACGGUACCUUGAUAAGAAGCACCGGCUAACUACGUG
rnacentral:rRNA from 1 species